GUGGGGAAUAUUCCGCAAUGGACGAAAGUCUGACGGAGCAACGCCGCGUGAGUGAUGAAGGUUUUCGGACUGUAAAGCUCUGUUGUUUAGGACGAAAGUGCCUGUUGCAAAUAGUUACAGGUAUUGACGGUACUGAACGAGGAAGCCACGGCUAACUACGUGCCAGCAGUCGCGGUAAUACGUAGGUGGCAAGCGUUGUCCGGAAUUAUUGGGCGUAAAGAGCAUGUAGGCGGGAUUCUAAGUCUGUUGUGAACAUGCGGGGCUCAACCCCGUAUUGCGAUGGAAACUGGGUUUCUUGAGUGCAGGAGAGGAAAGGGGAAUUCCCAGUGUAGCGGUGAAAUGCGUAGAUAUUGGGAGGAACACCAGUGGCGAAGGCGCCUUUCUGGACUGUGUCUGACGCUGAGAUGCGAAAGCCAGGGUAGCGAACGGGAUUAGAAACCCCAGUAGUCC
rnacentral:rRNA from 1 species